rnacentral:rRNA from 1 species
AUGAAAAGCAGCACCUGCUGCAGUUCGUCAAAAAAUAAUCGUACCAUCGUCACGGACGCGGGGCUAAACAGGACUGUGGGUGUCUGUGCUUUUCAGGUGGACCAAGCCGUAUCAAUGGCGUUCGGAGAGAACGGAGCAACCAACUACAUCCGCAUCCAGGUAAGGCAUUACCGCCGGAGCGACGACAGAGGCGGCCAUGGCGGAGCGGGGGGUGGAGUCGGUCCUGUUCCGGGGGAAGAAGCUGAUGCCGCAGACCAACGACGAGCGGCUGGACGGCGUGGUGGAGCAGCUGGUGCGGGAUCCUCCGUGAUUCGGCCAUUGCCAUUCUCCACGGAUCUGGCCGUGGCCACAACCGACGCUGCCGGUUCCAUGGAGGAGCUCACCCCGGCCUUCUCCUCGUUUUCCUCCAUGGUCGGGUCUCCUGGUGGAGGUGCCGAUGUUGCCGGUUCCACAACGCAAGAGCCCGUGGCAACGCGGCAAACUGAAGUUGUUCGCCCGCGUCGCACAGGGCGUCUUUGGCGUCGCAGGAAACCCUACCUUGGGGUUGGCAUAGGGCAUCUCUGGCGUCGUAUGAAACCCCACCGCGGGGCUGGUGCAGGGAGUGGCCGACCAUCCCACCCUGCUGAAGCCGCAGGGCGUCUCUGCCAAGUCCAUGGUUGGCGAGUCCAAGGCCGUCUCUAUCCAGGCCUCCGUGGUUGA